UUCAACAACAUGUUAAAUAAUUGUUUAUGCAUGACCAAGUGGGAUUUAUCCCAGGGAUGCAAAAAUAGCUCAAUAUAUACAAACCGAACCAUGCAAUAGAUGAUAUCAAUGGAAUGAAGGAUAAAAACUAUGUGAUCAUUUUAAUUGAUGCUGAGAAAGCAUUUGAUAAAAUUCAACAUCCAUCCAAGAUAAAAAUCUGCUAAAAAUUGGGUAAAGAAGAAACACACUUCAACAUAAGAAAAGCCAUAUACUACAGACUAACAGUUAGUAUCAUACUAAAUGGAGAUAAGCUGAAAGCCUUUCUUAUAAGAUCUGGAAGUAAACAAGGAUGCUCACUCUCACCACUCCUCUUCGACAUAGUACUGGAAGUCCUAG